rnacentral:lncRNA from 1 species
GGCAAUGGCCUAAGAUUUUCUACAAAGGAGUUGUGUUGCGGGUGGGGUGCCUCCAAGGACUUGCUGGCCUGCGUUGCACCACAGGGUUUAUUCUGGGUAAUGGUGGUGGCUUCAUAGUAAAUGGUGGGGCUAACCCACAGCCCUAGAGCUACCCAGGCAGGGCGACACGGCAGAAACAUGCAGCUGGAGGAGCCUGGCUGCCUGGUUCGACUCCUGGUGCUGUGUGAUCUGGGGCAAGUUCUUCGACUUCUCUGAAGCUCAGUUUCAUCAUCUGAGAAGUGAAGAAAAUUAUCCACUUCACGAGACCAUGAGGAUGGCGGUCCUGAUCCAGUGGAAGAAUCAUGGCAGCGGGGGCCCUGAGCGAGCUGGAAGGGUCAGGAGAUGGGACGUUUUAGAGUGAAGAUUUCUGAUGAGGUGCUUUUUCUGGUGGUGACAAGAUGCAGGGCACGAGCAAGGCGGAGGCGGCUAAGAGUCAGUGUAAUAAAAGGCUGGUGGUGACUGGAAAGUGGAGAAACUGAGACGCCAGGACGAGGAUGCGUUACCCUUCGUGGGCAGUGUCUUAUUUCCCUUUCCUUACAAAGCUGCUGUGUCGGCGUGAUUGUCCUCCUUUAACAGAUGAUGAAGGAGACAUUCAGAGGUUAAGAGACUGGCCAAGGACAGGAAAGUCGCAGAGCCAGGCUUCACCCAGGGACGUCUGACUUUACAAUGACCGUGGCCUUUCUCCUCCUCGCCUGCUGCCCAUUGACUUAGCUGCACCCCAUUAAACUUCACUCUGCCCAGAUAACAUCUCACAGCUUGACUUUCUCUGAUUUUUUGCUGCAGCGGCUGCACUAAGGAUGUCUCAUGAGCUGGAAGGAAAGGAGGGGGAGGUGCAGAAUUACAAAGACGCGAGGUCACAAGAAGGACAAAUGAGGACUACAGCCUAGCAGGCUUUUGCCAUUGGCCACUCCGAGAGGAGAGCUCUCCUGCCCCUCACAAAUGCAGGGGUGUGCCCUCUCUACCUGUCACCAGCUUCUGCAAAGCAAAGCACUGGGCAUUGCUAAAGCAUCACUCAUUCCCCACAUACAGCACUCAAUGGUGUAUCUGGGCCAUAAAUACUAUAUAAGCACUUUGCAAUCGGGUCCAUUUUUGUCACCAUUUCAUUCCUUUUAUACAUCAUUACUUAUUCUGACCAUUUAGAGCAAACUAUUUGAGAAAUAGGAGCACAGCCCAGGCCGGGCAAUAACCCCUCUUGUGUUG